ensembl:ncRNA lncRNA:CR45032 long non-coding RNA:CR45032
AAGUCGUUAGGAUGGCCAAAAGAAGCGGUCAGAGACACUGCAAAGCGCGCUGAAGGAUGGCGCGUUAAAGAAGAGCAACCGAGUGGAAGGCUUUUAAUGAGCAGUUGACGUCAUCAUCAUUAAAAAUGUGCAAACUGCGAUUGAGAUGAUUGAUUGGGUUCUGUUUGCUCCUUUUGAGCCGCCAUUAAGUGCGGCUGAAAGCGCGCUGCCAUAAAUUUGCUUAAUCAAACUAUUUAGCCAGCCGUUGGAUGUAGAUGUCACGCAUCGGAAGUCAAGCUGCUGCAGUUCCAUUACGGCAACGGGCACAAGGUCUUCUGUGUUCCGGACUCGGGACUCCGCGGAGCAGGAGCGGCACACUGUGCCGUAACGAGCGCCUCACAUGUUUUGCAUGCUUUUAGGCGCUGCUCAGACGACACACAUAAUCCUAAUUAAUUGCCGGCAUCGGCAUCAGCAUUCAGGCAGCAGGAUUCAUCCAGGAGCAGCGCCUCCUUCCCAGCCCCGACCGCCGGGGGAAUACGCAGCGAAUGCAUUCUGGCAGGUGCAUGUGAGCACUUCGUGCGCGCCAUUUACCCACCGAGUGUUUGGGCGGCCAUGUGGGUGGUGCACUGAGAGAAUGGGCCAACUAGAUCUCAAAGUCCACACAUUAUAAGUAAUUACAGCAACU